rnacentral:rRNA from 1 species
GACGAACGCUGGCGGCGUGCUUAACACAUGCAAGUCGAACGGAAAGGCCCGGCUUUUGUGGGGUGCUCGAGUGGCGAACGGGUGGGUAACACGUGAGUAACCUGCCCUUGACUUUGGGAUAACUUCAGGAAACUGGGGCUAAUACCGGAUAGGAGCUCCGGCUGCAUGGGGGGGGUUGGAAAGUUUCGGCGGUUGGGGAUGGACUCGCGGCUUAUCAGCUUGUUGGUGGGGUAGUGGCUUACCAAGGCUUUGACGGGUAGCCGGCCUGGGAGGGUGACCGGCCACAUUGGGACUGAGAUACGGCCCAGACUCCUACGGGAGGCAGCAGUGGGGAAUAUUGCACAAUGGGCGGAAGCCUGAUGCAGCAACGCCGCGUGCGGGAUGACGGCCUUCGGGUUGUAAACCGCUUUCGCCUGUGACGAAGCGUGAGUGACGGUAAUGGGUAAAGAAGCACCGGCUAACUACGUG